UUACAUUAGUGUACUGAGUUAAUGCUGUGACAUUAUGAUAGAGUGGGAGUUAUGGUUUUUGGAAGUGGUGUUAAUGAGUUGUUUCUCAAGUGCAGUAAUUUGCCUUUUUGUGCAACGAUGAAUCAUUUGAUUUUGUUUUUGUUUUUGUGGUUAUUUAAGUAAACAAUAAUUGAUGCGAAUAACUAAAGUUAUCACUGCACGAUAUAUAAACUGUCAUAUCUAGUUUCUGUUAUUGAUUGUCGCUAAGUCACAGAAUAGGACAUAAUAUAGAAGAUGAACUGUACAGGAACAGCGUCAGUGUAUGUUUUUUCAGUGUCACUGUGAUAUUUAUGAAACGAAAAACUUCUUCCUUUGGAACACACCCACGAAGGUGAAGGGCUUGCUAUCUAUCCAGUUCACGGUUAGCUGCAUUUCUGGUGCAAUAAAUUACUUGAUACAGGUUCCAAAGAAAGAAAUCCAAGAAAAUGGCUGCUCCAAAAUCCUUAGAUGACUUUAAUAAACUGUUAGAUACCUCAGAUACAAAAGUAAAACUAACUGUUACAAAUAACUUACUAGCCUACUUAUCAAACCCAGAAAACAGUUUAGAAUGUGAAGACAUCUGCCUUUUCAUGGAUGCAAUGGUACCCUGGAUGCAGUCAGGCAAUAG